AUUGAACGCUGGCGGCAUGCUUUACACAUGCAAGUCGAACGGUAACAGGCCGCAAGGUGCUGACGAGUGGCGAACGGGUGAGUAAUGCAUCGGAACGUGCCCAGUCGUGGGGGAUAACGCAGCGAAAGCUGCGCUAAUACCGCAUACGAUCUAUGGAUGAAAGCGGGGGACCGAAAGGCCUCGAGCGAUUGGAGCGGCCGAUGUCAGAUUAGGUAGUUGGGGAGGUAAAGGCUCACCAAGCCGACGAGCUGUAGCGGGUCUGAGAGGACGACCAGCCACACGGGGACUGAGACACGGCCCAGACGCCUACGGGAGGCAGCAGUGGGGAAUUUUGGACAAUGGGCGCAAGCCUGAUCCAGCAAUGCCGCGUGCAGGAUGAAGGCCUUCGGGUUGUAAACUGCUUUUGUACGGAGCGAAAAGGCUUCCACUAAUACUGGGGGCUCAUGACGGUACCGUAAGAAUAAGCACCGGCUAACUACGUGCCAGCAGCCGCCGUAACAC
rnacentral:rRNA from 1 species